UUGAACGCUGGCGGCAGGCCUAACACAUGCAAGUCGAGCGGAUGAAGGGAGCUUGCUCCUGGAUUCAGCGGCGGACGGGUGAGUAAUGCCUAGGAAUCUGCCUGGUAGUGGGGGAUAACGUCCGGAAACGGGCGCUAAUACCGCAUAGGUCCUGAGGGAGAAAGUGGGGGAUCUUCGGACCUCACGCUAUCAGAUGAGCCUAGGUCGGAUUAGCUAGUUGGUGGGGUAAAGGCCUACCAAGGCGACGAUCCGUAACUGGUCUGAGAGGAUGAUCAGUCACACUGGAACUGAGACACGGUCCAGACUCCUACGGGAGGCAGCAGUGGGGAAUAUUGGACAAUGGGCGAAAGCCUGAUCCAGCCAUGCCGCGUGUGUGAAGAAGGUCUUCGGAUUGUAAAGCACUUUAAGUUGGGAGGAAGGGCAGUAAGUUAAUACCUUGCUGUUUUGACGUUACCAACAGAAUAAGCACCGGCUAACUUCGUG
rnacentral:rRNA from 1 species